AAAAACAUCGCCUCCUGCAAAACCUCAACGUAUAGGAGGUCUUACCUGCCCAGUGACAAAGUUAAACGGCCGCGGUAUCUUGACCGUGCUAAGGUAGCGCAAUCACUUGUUUUUUAAAUGAAGACCUGUAUGAAUGGUGAAACGAGGGCUUAACUGUCUCCCCUUUCUAGUCAAUGAAACUGACCUGCUCGUGCAGAGGCGAGCAUAAACAUACAAGACGAGAAGACCCUUUGGAGCUUUAGACAUAAGGUCAACUGUGCUCAAAACCAAACAAAAUGGAAUCAAAUAAACAAUAACUGACCAGAGUCUUCGGUUGGGGCGACCAUGGGAAAAAACAAAACUCCCACGCGGAAUGGGGAAACCCUAAGCUAAGAAAGAUACUUCAAGGCAACAGAACAUCUGACCAUAAAGAUCCGGCAAACAAGCCGAUCAACAGACCAAGUUACCCUAGGGAUAACAGCGCAAUCCCCUUCAAGAGUCCCUAUCGACAAGGGGGUUUACGACCUCGAUGUUGGAUCAGGACAUCCUAAUGGCGCAGCCACUAUUAAGGGUUCGUUUGUUCAACGAUUAAAGUCCUACGUGAUCUGAG
rnacentral:rRNA from 1 species